AAUAACCUAACGGUUGAACCAGCAACUUGGAAGAAUGUAUAGCUAAGCUAAAUGUUUUUGUAAAAAAACAUAUUCGAUUUAUUCGUAUAAAAUUCUAGGUAGAAUUAUGAUAAUGACAUUAUCUAUCUAUAAGUCUUGACAAACAUGCGUGCCAGCAGUCGCGGCAAGACGCUAAAGACUAGUGUUAUUCAUUUUUAAUAGGUUUAAAGGGUACCUAGACGGUAAAUUAAGCCUUAACGGGUACUAAUUUAACUAGAGUUAAAUGUAAGGGUGCAUUAACGUACUAUUGAGUGUAGAGAUGAAAUUCUGUCAUACCAGAUUAUUGGCACGGGUAUAGGCGAAAGCAUCACUUUAUGUAAUAACUGACGUUGAGGGACGAAGGCUUUGUAUCGCUAAAAGGAUUAGAUACCCUCGUAGUCUAAGCAGACAAUGAUGAAUGUCAUAGGUUAAAUAUUAUUUAAUCUAUAAAUGAAAGUGUAAGCAUUCCACCUCAAGAGUAAUUUGGCAACAUUGGAAUUGAAAUCAUUAGACCGUUUCUGAUACCAGUAGUGAAGUAUGUUGUUUAAUUAGAUGGUCCACAAAAAACCUUACCACAACUUGAAUAUUUUACAAGCGUUGCACGGCUGUCUUCAGUUAAUGUCGUGAGAUUUUGGUUAGUUCCAUAAAAUUAACGUAAACCCUUACUUUAUUUUAUAUAAAGUAGUUCGCCGCUAUAUUGGUUAGAUAAAAGGGAGUAAGACAAGUCAUCAUGGCCUAAAUGUUGU
rnacentral:rRNA from 1 species